AUGGCCCCAGGAGCCAUAAGAGGUCCCCAAGGAGGUGGGGGGAGCAACGCAGAAGCAGACACCUCGGCCCAAGCCUGGCCUGAGCAAACCAGCCUGUCCUUGGUUCCAGGUUUCGGGCCCUUCCGGCAGCACUUGGUGAAUUCCAGCUGGGAAGCGGUGAAGGAACUCUCCAAACUGGGCCUGGGGAGUGACAUGGACGUAGAGCUGCAGACCCUUCAGCUGCCGGUGGAUUACAGGGAAGUGAAGCAGAGGGUCGCCAGAAUCUGGAAAGAUCUUCAACCGCAAUUCGUUGUGCAUGUGGGCGUGGACCCCGCCGCCAAGGCCAUCUUUCUGGAGCAGUGCAGCAAGAACCGAGGCUACCGGGACGCCGACAUCCGGGGCUUCCGGCCCGAGUGUGGCGUGUGCCUUCCAGAUGGCCCAGAAGUGAUCGCGUCAGAGGUCAGCAUGAAGGCGGUCAGCAGGCGGGCAGCAGUGCAGGGCGUGGAGGUGGCCUUUUCCCGAGACGCGGGUAGGUAUGUCUGCGAUUACGCCUACUACCUGUCUUUGCAUCAUGGAAAUGGGUGUGCGGCCCUCAUCCAUGUCCCUCCGUUAUCUCCUCGGCUGCCCGCCAGCCUGCUGGGAAAAGCCCUGCAAGUCCUCAUCCAGGAAAUGCUGGAGGAGAUGAGAAAGGCCGGGCUCAAAACCAGAAGCUCAGCCUUUGCAGUUCCAGCCGGGGAGAACCAA
rnacentral:lncRNA from 1 species